rnacentral:tRNA from 1 species
GGGCCCGUGGUCUAGCGGUUAGGACACUGCCUUCACACGGCAGAGAUCAAGGGUUCAAAUCCCUUCGGGCCCA